GAUGAACGCUGGCGGCGUGCCUAAUACAUGCAAGUCGAGCGAACGGACGAGAAGCUUGCUUCUCUAAUGUUAGCGGCGGACGGGUGAGUAACACGUGGAUAACCUACCUAUAAGACUGGGAUAACUUCGGGAAACCGGAGCUAAUACCGGAUAAUAUUUUGAACCGCAUGGUUCAAAAGUGAAAGACGGUCUUGCUGUCACUUAUAGAUGGAUCCGCGCUGCAUUAGCUAGUUGGUAAGGUAACGCCUUACCAAGGCAACGAUGCAUAGCCGACCUGAGAGGGUGAUCGGCCACACUGGACCGGGGACACGGUCCAGACUCCUACGGGAGGCAGCAGUAGGGAAUCUUCCGCAAUGGGCGAAAGCCUGACGGAGCAACGCCGCGUGAGUGAUGAAGGUCUUCGGAUCGUAAAACUCUGUUAUUAGGGAAGAACAUAGGUGUAAGUAACUGUGCACAUCUUGACGGUACCUAAUCAGAAAGCCACGGCAAACUACGU
rnacentral:rRNA from 1 species